rnacentral:rRNA from 1 species
ACUUUUUAUUUGAUGCUUGCAUCUUUUAAAAAGUUGAGUGGCGAACGGGUGAGUAACACGUGGGUAACCUACCUUAAAGUGGGGGAUAACACUUGGAAACAGGUGCUAAUACCGCAUAACCAUCAAAACCGCCUGGUUUUGAUGUUAAAGAUGGUUCUGCUAUCGCUUUAAGAUGGACCCGCGGCGUAUUAGCUAGUUGGUGAGGUAACGGCUUACCAAGGCAAUGAUACGUAGCCGAACUGAGAGGUUGAUCGGCCACAUUGGGACUGAGACACGGCCCAAACUCCUACGGGAGGCAGCAGUAGGGAAUCUUCCACAAUGGACGAGAGUCUGAUGGAGCAACGCCGCGUGAGUGAAGAAGGUUUUCGGAUCGUAAAACUCUGUUGUCAGAGAAGAACGUGUGUGAGAGUAACUGUUCACGCAGUGACGGUAUCUGACCAGAAAGUCACGGCUAACUACGUGCCAGCAGCCGCGGUAAUACGUAGGUGGCAAGCGUUGUCCGGAUUUAUUGGGCGUAAAGGGAACGCAGGCGGUCUUUUAAGUCUGAUGUGAAAGCCUUCGGCUUAACCGAAGUCGGGCAUUGGAAACUGGGAGACUUGAGUGCAGAAGAGGAGAGUGGAACUCCAUGUGUAGCGGUGAAAUGCGUAGAUAUAUGGAAGAACACC